rnacentral:rRNA from 1 species
GGCAGCAGUGGGGAAUCUUCCGCAAUGGACACAAGUCUGACGGAGCAACGCCGCGUGAGUGAUGAAGGUUUUCGGAUCGUAAAACUCUGUUGUUAGGGAAGAACAAGUAUCGGAGUCACUGCCGGUACCUUGACGGUACCUAACGAGAAAGCCACGGCUAACUACGUGCCAGCAGCCGCGGUAAUACGUAGGUGGCAAGCGUUGUCCGGAUUUAUUGGGCGUAAAGCGCGCGCAGGCGGUCUUUUAAGUCUGAUGUGAAAUCUUACAGCUUAACUGUAAGCGGUCAUUGGAAACUGGGAGACUUGAGUGCAGAAGAGGAGAGUGGAAUUCCAUGUGUAGCGGUGAAAUGCGUAGAGAUAUGGAGGAACACCAGUGGCGAAGGCGACUCUCUGGUCUGUAACUGGCGCUGAGGCGCGAAAGCGUGGGGAUCAAACAGGAUUAGAUACCCUGGUAGUCCACGCCGUAAACGAUGAGUACUAAGUGU